GCGUCAGUGGUUUAGUGGUAAAAUCCAUCGUUGCCAUUCCUUCCGAGCAGUGAAGUCGAUGGGCCCCGCGUUCGAUUCGCGGCUGACGCA